rnacentral:rRNA from 1 species
AGAGUUUGAUCUUGGCUCAGGAUGAACGCUAGCUACAGGCUUAACACAUGCAAGUCGAGGGGAAACGACAUCGAAAGCUUGCUUUUGAUGGGCGUCGACCGGCGCACGGGUGAGUAACGCGUAUCCAACCUGCCCAUCACUUGGGGAUAACCUUGCGAAAGUAAGACUAAUACCCAAUGAUAUCUCUAGAAGGCAUCUGAAGGAGAUUAAAGAUUUAUCGGUGAUGGAUGGGGAUGCGUCUGAUUAGCUUGGUUGGCGGGGUAACGGCCACCAAAGCAACGAUCAGUAGGGUUCUGAGAGGAAGGUCCCCCACAUUGGAACUGAGACACGGUCCAAACUCCGUACGGGAGGCA